UACAGAGGGUGCGAGCGUUAAUCGGAAUUACUGGGCGUAAAGCGUGCGUAGACGGCUAUCUAAGUCGGGUGUGAAAGCCCCGGGCUCAACCUGGGAAUUGCAUUCGAGACUGAAUAGCUAGGGUACGGUAGAGGGAAGUGGAAUUUCCGGUGUAGCGGUGAAAUGCGUAGAUAUCGGAAGGAACAUCAGUGGCGAAAGCGACUUCCUGGACUAGUACCGACGUUCAGGCACGAAAGCGUGGGGAGCAAACAGG
rnacentral:rRNA from 1 species